rnacentral:rRNA from 1 species
UACGUAGGGUGCGAGCGUUGUCCGGAAUUAUUGGGCGUAAAGGGCUCGUAGGCGGUUUGUCACGUCGGGAGUGAAAACUCAGGGCUUAACCCUGAGCUUGCAGUGGGUACGGGCAGACUAGAGUGCGGUAGGGGAGACUGGAAUUCCUGGUGUAGCGGUGAAAUGCGCAGAUAUCAGGAGGAACACCGAUGGCGAAGGCAGGUCUCUGGGCCGAUACUGACGCUGAGGAGCGAAAGCGUGGGGAGCGAACAGG